rnacentral:rRNA from 1 species
AGCAGCCGCGGUAAUUCCAGCUCCAAUAGCGUAUAUUAAAGUUGUUGCAGUUAAAAAGCUCGUAGUUGAAUUUCGGGAUCAGUACGCUGGUCGUGCCUUUGGUAUGUACUGGUGUCACUGAUUCCUCCCUUCUGAAGAACCGUUAUGCCAUUUAUUUGGUGUGGCGGGAAAUCAGGACUGUUACUUUGAAAAAAUUAGAGUGUUUAAAGCAGGCUCGCGCUUGAAUACAUUAGCAUGGAAUAAUGAAAUAGGACGUUUGAUCUUAUUUUGUUGGUUUCUAGGAUCGACGUAAUGAUUAAUAGGGAUAGUUGGGGGCAUUAGUAUUCAAUUGUCAGAGGUGAAAUUCUUGGAUUUAUUGAAGACUAACUACUGCGAAAGCAUUUGCCAAGGAUGUUUUCAUUAAUCAAGAACGAAAGUUAGGGGAUCGAAGACGAUCAGAUACCGUCGUAGUCUUAACCAUAAACUAUGCCGACUAGGGAUCGGAUGAUGUUAAUUUUUUAAUGACUCAUUCGGCG